rnacentral:tRNA from 1 species
UCUAGUUUAGCAUAUUUUAAUGUGGGGGGUUGUAAACUCUUUGAAGGCUAUGGCCAAUUAGGA